AGCAUUACUGGUUAUGACGAAGUACCUACUAAGUUACCAACGACUUUCUUCAAAUCUUGGAUCAUAACCGGGUUUGCGAUUAGCCCAAAAACAGGAUUCACGCUUACGACUUCAAUGGCAAUGAAAACUGUGAAGGAUAUAUAUGUUGAUAUCGACUUGCCAAGUUAUGUGAAGAAGGGAAACAACGUUACUUUGGAAGUUGAAGUUUACAACUACUUACAUAAAAGUAUGCGAAUGCUUGUUUCUUUG